rnacentral:rRNA from 1 species
GAUGAACGCUGGCGGCGUGCCUAAUACAUGCAAGUCGAGCGAACAGACGAGGAGCUUGCUCCUCUGACGUUAGCGGCGGACGGGUGAGUAACACGUGGAUAACCUACCUAUAAGACUGGGAUAACUUCGGGAAACCGGAGCUAAUACCGGAUAAUAUUUUGAACCGCAUGGUUCAAUAGUGAAAGACGGUUUUGCUGUCACUUAUAGAUGGAUCCGCGCCGCAUUAGCUAGUUGGUAAGGUAACGGCUUACCAAGGCAACGAUGCGUAGCCGACCUGAGAGGGUGAUCGGCCACACUGGAACUGAGACACGGUCCAGACUCCUACGGGAGGCAGCAGUAGGGAAUCUUCCGCAAUGGGCGAAAGCCUGACGGAGCAACGCCGCGUGAGUGAUGGAGGUCUUCGGAUCGUAAAACUCUGUUAUUAGGGAAGAACAAAUGUGUAAGUAACUAUGCACGUCUUGACGGUACCUAAUCAGAAAGCCACGGCUAACUACGUG